GCAGCCGCCGCGGUAAUACGUAGGUGGCAAGCGUUGUCCGGAAUUAUUGGGCGUAAAGGGCUCGCAGGCGGUUUCUUAAGUCUGAUGUGAAAGCCCCCGGCUCAACCGGGGAGGGUCAUUGGAAACUGGGAAACUUGAGUGCAGAAGGGGAGAGUGGAAUUCCACGUGUAGCGGUGAAAUGCGUAGAGAUGUGGAGGAACACCAGUGGCGAAGGCGACUCUCUGGUCUGUAACUGACGCUGAGGAGCGAAAGCGUGGGGAGCGAACAGGAUUAGAUACCCCCGUAGUCCCUGUCUCUUAUAC
rnacentral:rRNA from 1 species